GUUGGGUGUGGUAGUGCUCACUUGGAAUCCCAGCUACUGGGAAGCUGAGACAGAAGGAUUUCAAGUUCAAGGCCAGCCUGGGCAACUUUGUGAGACCCUGUCUCAA
rnacentral:sRNA from 1 species